rnacentral:rRNA from 1 species
AUUGAACGCUGGCGGAAUGCUUUACACAUGCAAGUCGAACGGCAGCACGGACUUCGGUCUGGUGGCGAGUGGCGAACGGGUGAGUAAUGUAUCGGAACGUGCCCAGUCGUGGGGGAUAACGUAGUGAAAAUUACGCUAAUACCGCAUACGAUCUAUGGAUGAAAGCGGGGGAUCGCAAGACCUCGCGCGAUUGGACCGGCCGAUAUCAGAUUAGGUAGUUGGUGGGGGAAAGGCCCACCAAGGCAACGAUCUGUAGCUGGUCUGAGAGGACGACCAGGCAAACUGGAACUGCGACACGGUCCAGACUCCUACGGGGGGCAGCAGUGGGGAAUUUUGGACAAUGGGCGAAAGCCUGAUCCAGCCAUUCCGCGUGCAGGAUGAAGGCCCUCGGGUUGUAAACUGCUUUUGUACAGAACGAAAAGGUUUCUACUAAUACUAGGAGCUCAUGACGGUACUGUAAGAAUAAGCACCGGCUAACUACGUGCCAGCCGCCGCGGUAA